rnacentral:lncRNA from 1 species
ACACAGAGGGAAGACAGCCAUGUGAAGAUGGAGGCAGAGAUUGAAGUGCCACAUCUAUAGGCCAAGGAACACCAAGGAUUGCUGGGAGCCACCAGAAGGUCACAGAAUGAGUUAGGGAGAUAAAAUCCAGAGGCCUGCCUCGAAGGCCUUCGGAAUGAUGGCCUUAGCAAACAGACCACUGGAAUUGAGUGAUUUAUUCAAAUCAUCGCUAACUAAGGCAGUGGUUGACCAGAUCUGCGUACACUGUGGGGAAGACAGGCAAUCUGGGGCCGAUGCGGGUGGACUUCUGAGCGGUGUUGUGAGCACGCAGGUCUCAGACUGUUUCUGCGGGGCUGAAGGGAAUGACUUC